CCUACGGGUGGCAGCAGUGAGGAAUAUUGGUCAAUGGCCGCGAGCCUGAACCAGCCAAGUCGCGUGAAGGAAGACUGCCCUACGGAUUGUAAACUUCUUUUGUAAGGGAGUAAAGUUAGGCACGUGUGCGUGUUUGUGGGUACUUUAUGAAUAAGCAUCGGCUAACUCCGUGCCAGCAGCCGGGGUACUACGGAGGAUCCGAGCUGUAGCCGGAUUUAUUGGGUUUAAAAGGAGCGUCGAGCGGUUGUUAAGGUAGGUGUUAAAGUCUGAGGCGCAAACGUAAAACAGCAAUUGAUACUGGUAGUCUGGAGUGCAGGUGAGGUAGGCGGAAUGCGUGGUGUAGCGGUGAAAUGCAUAGAUAUCACGAAGAACUCCGAUUGCGAAGGCAGCAUACUAACAUGCGACUGACACUGAUGCUCGAAAGUGUGGGUAUCAAACAGGAUUAGAUACCCGAGUAGUC
rnacentral:rRNA from 1 species